rnacentral:rRNA from 1 species
AAGGCGCGCGAUACAGGGUGACAGCCCCGUACACAAAAAUGCACAUGCUGUGAGCUCGAUGAGUAGGGCGGGACACGUGGUAUCCUGUCUGAAUAUGGGGGGACCAUCCUCCAAGGCUAAAUACUCCUGACUGACCGAUAGUGAACCAGUACCGUGAGGGAAAGGCGAAAAGAACCCCGGCGAGGGGAGUGAAAAAGAACCUGAAACCGUGUACGUACAAGCAGUGGGAGCACAGAGCAAUCUGUGUGACUGCGUACCUUUUGUAUAAUGGGUCAGCGACUUAUAUUCUGUAGCAAGGUUAACCGAAUAGGGGAGCCGAAGGGAAACCGAGUCUUAACUGGGCGUUAAGUUGCAGGGUAUAGACCCGAAACCCGGUGAUCUAGCCAUGGGCAGGUUGAAGGUUGGGUAACACUAACUGGAGGACCGAACCGACUAAUGUUGAAAAAUUAGCGGAUGACUUGUGGCUGGGGGUGAAAGGCCAAUCAAACCGGGAGAUAGCUGGUUCUCCCCGAAAGCUAUUUAGGUAGCGCCUCGUGAAUUCAUCUCCGGGGGUAGAGCACUGUUUCGGCAAGGGGGUCAUCCCGACUUACCAACCCGAUGCAAACUGCGAAUACCGGAGAAUGUUAUCACGGGAGACACACGGCGGGUGCUAACGUCCGUCGUGAAGAGGGAAACAACCCAGACCGCCAGCUAAGGUCCCAAAGUCAUGGUUAAGUGGGAAACGAUGUGGGAAGGCCCAGACAGCCAGGAUGUUGGCUUAGAAGCAGCCAUCAUUUAAAGAAAGCGUAAUAGCUCACUGGUCGAGUCGGCCUGCGCGGAAGAUGUAACGGGGCUAAACCAUG